GCUCCCACUGAGCAACGGAGGCAGCGGGAGGACGGAGUUUGUGUGUUCUCCCGAAGAAGACAAGAGAUCCAACGCCGGGGAGAAUGAUGGGGACUUGCUACCGCUGAAGGAGCCCUGCAGAUUGGAGAGAAAAGAGGAGAGCUCCCUCAACUUCUGGGGCCAUCUGCUCACAUGGCCCGCCAUUCGUCUGUUGCUCAGCCAAGACAUCAGCCCCUCAUGUGGAGGGCUCCAUGCCAGCUUCUGUGAAGACUGGUGAAUACUAGCGGCCGCUUGUCCCAGAGCACGUGCAAUGUAACAAACUUGUAAAUAAAAUAAGCACAUUGUAAUACAGCAUGUUCGGUGUCAUAACAGAAACACAAGUAAAGAGAUCAGGAAAUCAGCGCCUCUGCAGGGAAUCUGACAGUCAUGGAGAGGUGCCAUCUGAACUGGGCUUUGAGGAAUGAGUAGGAGUUUUCCAGGGGAAGGGACAAGGGGGACAAAUGGUGGGCAGAAGCUCCAGAUGAAAGCAGGUGUGCCUGGGGUUAGCGAUGCCCCCUGCGGAGGGAGCAUAGGUUAUGGAAGAUGGGCUCACAGAACCUGGAGCUAAGGAAGUUGGCUGAGGCCAAAUCUUGAAGGCCCUUGCACACCAAGGUGGGGAUUUCAUCCUGGAGGUGGGAGCAGGAGUAGCUUUGAUUUGGGAGAGAAAAGCUCUAGAGAUAGUGUAAAAGGUAGCUUGGAGUUUAAAAAAUUUUUAAGUUCCAUUUUAAGAAAAUAAGAUAAAAUAAUAUUUCAUGAACUUCUUUCCAUCUUAA